rnacentral:lncRNA from 1 species
GGGUUUUUCCACAAAGUGACUUUCCACAGAGAUGGUAAUGGAAGCAUCUAGAGGCAGGAUGUAAAAUGGCAAAAUGUCUAUCUAACUCCAAAGGUUCUUAGGGAAAUUAAAAAGAAGUCUGGGCAUGCCUUUCCUCUAAGUGGGGAGCUGUGGAGGAGACAUGGCUUAGCAUCGAAGGGAUGGUACCCUGCCCUCUCACAAUGACUCAGCUCUUUCCUCUCGGGCUUAAUAAACAAUUAUUUAAGAGCACGAAUAGAAAUCAAGGCAUUUUCAAGUUUCAUAGAAGUCAUUUAAGGCCGGGAGUGGUGGCGCACACCUUUAAUCCCAGCACUCAGGAGGCAGAGUUCCUCCUGAGUUCCAGGCCAGCCUGGUCUACAAAGUGAGUUCCAGGACAGCCAGGGCUAUACAGAGAAACCCUGUCUGGAAAAACCAAAAAGGGAAGAGGAAGAGGAAGAGGAAGAGGAAGAGGAAGAGGAAGAGGAAGAGGAAGAGGAAGAGGAAGAGGAAGAGGAAGAAGUUAUUCACGACUUGCCUAGAUUUCUUGAAUUUUAGCAUCCAUCUUGUCUGUCUGUCUGUCUGUCUGCCUAGAAAACUCAGUGAGGAAAAUUAAAUCUUCAGUACUCUGUUGUGUAAUUCACCCUCAUUUUGAAGGACUGCAUCUUUGCCUUUAUGCUCGCCAACAAAGGAACACUUUUAAUGAGCAUUGCUUGCCAUAGUAAAAUGUUAUGGAUUUGGAAGAGACAACGGCAUGCCUGCAUCCAGGAGCAGAUUCUCUCAGGCUGCGAGGCCACAGCUGUCCCUUAGUAGGACCUAGAUGUUUCACUAACAUUUCCCACUUUACAGAGAUCAUCAGAAUAUUUUAGGAUUCAGAUAAUGGAUCAGAACCCCAAA